GAUGCCAGGGUCAAAAGGUAAAAUUCCGUUCAUGCUUGCAUGAUAAGGCAUUUUACCUUGGGACCCGCCAAACAUGAGGAAGCAGCGAUUUACGCAGUAAAUCAGCGGAUUUCGAAUGUUUGCAGAAUUGUGGGAGUUGCGAAGCAACGAAGCAAUCCGUGGCAUC
rnacentral:sRNA from 1 species